GCCUGGGUGGCUCAGUCGGUUAAGCGUCCGACUUCGGCUCAGGUCACGAUCUCGCGGUUCGUGGGUUCAAGCCCCGCAUCGGGCU
rnacentral:tRNA from 1 species